UGGGGAAUAUUGGACAAUGGGCGAAAGCCUGAUCCAGCAAUGCCGCGUGUGUGAAGAAGGUCUUCGGAUUGUAAAGCACUUUCGACGGGGACGAUGAUGACGGUACCCGUAGAAGAAGCCCCGGCUAACUUCGUGCAG
rnacentral:rRNA from 1 species